GAGGAUUCCUCUCUGGAAUCCUGAGGCGGAUUCCUCUCUGGAAUCCUGAGGAGGAUUCCUCUCUGGAAUCCUGAGGAGGAUUCCUCUCUGGAAUCCUGAGGAAGAUUCCUCUCUGGAAUCCUGAGGAGGAUUCUCUUCUGGAAUUCUGAGGAAGAUUCCCUUCUGGAAUCCUGAGGAGGAUUCCCUUCUGGAAUCCUAAGGAUUCCUCUCUAGAAUCCUAAAGAUUUCUCUCUGGGAUUCUGAAGAUUUCUCUCAAGAAUCCUGAAGUGGAUUCCUUUUGAGAAUCCUGAGGUGAGAUGAGGAGGAUCCCUUUUUGGAAUCCUGAGGAGGAUUCCUCUUAGAGAACUUGAGGAUAUCUCUCAGAAAACUAUAGGAGGAUAACUCUUAGAGAAUAUGAGAAUUUCUCUCAGGAAACCUAAGAACUAUUUCUCUCGAGGAACCUGAGGAUUCCAAUCAGUAAACCUGAGGGAGUUUGAUUCUUCUCAUGAAACCUGAGGAAGAGAGCUCUCAGAGGACCUGAGAAUUCCUCUCAGGAAGCUUGAGGAGGAUUACUCUUAGGAUAUCUGAGAAUUUCUCUCAGGGAACCUAAGAACUAUUUUAAUCAUGAAACCUGAGGGAGGAGGAUUCCUCUCAUGAAACCUUAAGAAGAUAUCUCUCGGGAAUACUUUGAACUCUCAGAAAACCUAAGGGUCCCUCUCAGGCAACCUGAUGAUUCCUUUCAGCAAAUCUGAGGAGGAUUACUCUCAGUAAACUUAGGGUGGAUUCUACUCAAAAAUCAUGAACACAAUGAUUUUGCAGUUGUACCUUCCAACACGAUCACAAAACCUCCCAAAAAGUCCAUUUUUCAUCAACCAUUUGUAACCCCAAACCAAAACCGCCCGCCGUAAUCUCCUCACAGAUGAUGUACGACUUUUUGGCCGAAAGCCCAGCUUUCAUGCUCGACUGACCGACCGACCGCUCGAACGCCCAUCAUUAUGCACUCCGCCCUCUCCUCGGGACCAUCGCCUAGGUCGAAAUGGAAUUCUGACACGCCAUCUAUCUUGCUGCCCCGAAAAUCGGCUCGAUCCAACCGAGGCGAGGAGGGCCGUUAGGUGUGAAAUCCCUAACCUCCGUUGGCGCCCCAGCAAAUCGCAUUCCUCAACCACUUGUCCACCUGAGUAAUGUGUUGCUUUGGCAAUGGGUCCUCAUCUGAAAAAGCUCUGGAGAGAGACAACCCUCUUGUAAUUUCUAAUCAAGGCACCUCCGUCGCCAGUUCCCCGUUUCGCGAGGAUGUUCGGGGGACCGAACUACCAGACCCAGCUGCAGUAGACGACUUCUUUUGUAAGUCGUAAAAAAUAACUAUGGAUGAGCUAAUUGCUGCGGGGCGGUUGGUGUGUGAUAGGCGUCUUCUUCUUCGGGCCAGCGGUGCGAGCGAUCACCGCUACUCAAAAAACAAACACUCCGUCCGAGAGCCGCCGCGCCGCCUUAUUCAAGUGUUGUUGGGACGCUCGUGGAGUGGCGAGCGGCAAGCGGCGAGCGACGAGCGGCUCCAACCGAAAGAGAUUGAUGAGCUGAUGAAUUUAAUGAUCUCAUCGUUGAAUUUUUCAUCCGAGUAGGCCUCGCCUCGCCUUUCCUCAAGUUCCGCACUGGAUGGCUGGAGGACUAGCCUACUACGAUGCUACGAUGAGGCGCUCCGAACGUAAACAACUGAGUGAGCACAGUGACAUCAUUGCCAGUGACCUCUCCCUCGAGAGAUGAUCCUCGCCUUGAGCGAGGUUUUCCUCUAUUGACUGCCCGAGAAGAGUGCAUGAAAAAAACACAAGGAGGAGAUAGUAAUUACUCAAUUACGGAGUCAUCACCGUACGCUAAGUCAUCCGUGUGCCGCGCCGGAGAGGAGUGGUUCGGGGUCAAUGACCCAUGUCCCUCUGUCUCUCUCGCUAGUAAGCAAGAAACAAACUUUUUUGGCGGGACGCGACGCCACCGGAGGAGUUCUUUUUUCUCUGUGGGUUCCGUGACGGUAACCGUUUUAUGGCAACAAAUAGGUGGACGGACGUCCCUCCUAACCAUCCACGUGAGGAGGGAUCACGCACGAAUUUCGGUUGCGGACGGAUGGCUGCUGCUGCCGUGAGGUUGAAAGUUUUGCUUCGGCUCCGACUUCAGUUUAAUUCGAAUAAAUUAUUUUAACGAUAUUAACCGGAGUAACGAGAUGAACUGGUUUUGGGUUGCAUGCCUCCGUCGGAAAUUAGUCGGAACGUAGAGGAACUUUGGUGAAAUUAGUCCAUUUGUAGACUUUGAGGUUUAUUUCCGAGGUUUGCUUUAUUGUCCCUAAAAUGAGGUGAUUUGAUAAAGUAGUUGUUAUACUUUGACGUCAUUAUGGACCUGAUGUGUUUUGUAAGUGUACACUAUGAAUUUUAAAUGACAAAUUAUGACGUUCAUCUACGAACUAGUCAUUUUACGGUUUGUUUCAAUGAUUAUCAAAAUCAGAUCUUGUUACCCUAACAAUUUGUACCGUUUGUAUGAAUGUAUUUCACUUUGAGAUUCAUGCAGAGACGCUGCUGUUCUAGGAUGAACUCAGAAAUCCGGUGAAUCAGGCUGCGGUCAUCUGGACACGCAAUUAACUUGUUUGCGGAAAUUAAGACAUACUAUGUACUGAGAUAUUGAUAUCCAGACACUCAAAUAUUCUGUUUUUCUUUAAUUGCAGUCUAGAGGCAAUUCCUUGUUAAAAAUGGUAUGGCUGUCUGGACACACUGUUGACCAAGGUACGGUCCGGUCGUCCAGACGCGCUGCGAUUUGUUUAUAAACUUUCGUCAUGAGACAGUUUCUUGUAAUAGUAUUGGAGCGGUCAUCCGGACACGCUGUGAACUGAUUUUCCAACUGUCCAUAUGACAAAGGAAGCUGUUGUAAACGUAACGAUGCGGUCAUCCAGACACGCAGUAAACUGGAUUGCGGUCAUCCGGAUGCGCAGUGGAUUAGAAUGCGGAAUGAUACUAGCUUUCGCGAAAACUACCACAACUGGUCAACGGGCGGUGGCGCGGCGGUGACAGCUCGUGCUGACAUUUUCUGUGAGUCACAUCUAACAACUAACGAACCAACGCGCAACGUGAUGACUUAAUGAAGAGAUGCCUGUGGAGUGGAUGGACCAGAGUAGAGUGUGUGCAGAUCGGCGCGAUUAAGUGACUUCUUUUCCAAAGAACCUGAAAUACUGGUGAUUGCCAUCAGCGAGGUAUAGAGUUCCUACGUUGCGUGUGCGAAAUUGGUAGGAACUUCAUACCGUGCUCUU